CCUUUGUACACACCGCCCGUCGCUACUACCGAUUGAAUGGCUCAGUGAGGCCUUCGGACUGGCUCCAGGAGGUUGGCGACAACCACCCAGAGCCGGAAAGUUGGUCAAACUCGGUCAUUUAGAGG
rnacentral:rRNA from 1 species